ensembl:lncRNA
GUAUUUACAUGGACACAUCUGUUCCGCAUAGAUUUCUAUCCGGAACAGAAAAUGAUCAUGUAUACGCCUCAUUCGGAAUACUGUUCGGCAUAGAUUCCAUGCCGAAUAGAAGAGGUGGUGUAGUCCGUUUUAAUCGCCAUGUAUACACAUUCCAAAUAGAUUGGGUUGCAGCCGCGGGAGUUCGCAAUUGGUCCACUGAGCUCCGUCGGUACGUUUAAGCACACCGAACUUGACCACCGUCAAGGAAAGUGGAUUUAUUGCCUAAUUCACGUCUUUGUUACCACGCCGUAAAAGUAGUCCGGGAAGCGUGUCCUGUUGCUAAGCGACGGGACAUGGGUGUUUAUUAAUGGGUUAGUGUCCGCAAAGUGUCCGCACGCGUCCGGGAUAACUGUAAAUUAGUAUGCUACUAGUACUUUUGCAGGCUGAACGUUAAAAUACUUCUUAACUUAGAGACCACUCUCUCCCACCAGUCUUGGCUGCGGACUCGCAUCCAAAUUCCUCUUGUUUGCGGCGGAGCUGGGGGUAAACAUUAAGAUCUGACGAGAAAUUGACGUAGCUGCGAUGUCCUCCUCCUUAAUUUAAGGAGCAGGCAGAGAAAAGCUCUCUCUGUGCUUUCAUUAAAAUUAAAUUUAAAAUCCCCGAUAGUGAUAAGAAAUCCAUUAUGUCGCCGCCGGUACAGAGAUGUGUCAGGUGUGCGCGAGAGACAUAACGGACACUUUUGUUACUGCCAUGUAUACAGUACAUUCGGAUCACAUUUUAGGAACAGAUCUAUGCCGCAUAGAAAUCUAUGCGGAUCAGAUGUGCCAUGUAAACCCGGCUACUAUGAAUUUCAUUCAUAUAUACAAUUUCAGAAGUGGAUGAGAUUCGAGAAAUAUCUUGUGUGGCAACCCGCUCCUCGAAUGAGCCGGGUUCCACGGAUAAAUGACGCUUGGCAGUGAGGGUUUAGCCGAUCACGGCAUUUAUUACAGACAACUUAAACCAUAUGAGGUACUCGCGGCCUCUAGGGCCUCCGUGGGCCUCUAGGGUAGGGCUGGCUCGGCCCGUGCUGUCUCGUCACUUGUCGGCCUUUCCGUCUGCUCCCGAGAGCCUUUUGAAGCGUCUCCCUGGCUGUCCAGCCAGGUGUCACUCAUCCCGCUGAUUGGGGUUCGGCAGGUGCUCUCCGUCACCGGCUGGUGGGUGACGGUGGUAUCGGCCAUCCCGGACCAACCCUCGGGCUGGUCUGGGCCGAGGUUUAAGUGGCGGGAUGCCACACUUGUUAUAAUGAGAAAGGAUGUCAAGGUUUGGGGGUUGAGGAACUAUUUUGAUCCUUUGUGGUAUGGCAACCCAGUCGCCAAAAGCAUACGUGGACAGCCUCACCUUUUUAAGGACAAUAAGUUAUGAGAGAAAUGCACAUUAACUUUUUGUUAUCUCAUAAGCGGUGUGGUGCCAGCUCCUUUUGACCUUUUGUCCCCAGACUACAAAAACGUGUCAACAGGCCAGCUGUGUCUACCCACCUUAAGCCACAAGUGUACACCUACAUCCCACAGAAAAUGGGGACUAGAAACAUAACCUCUGUCAUAUACAUUUACUCUACUGUUGAAGGUCACGCCCCUUUUCCCACCUUUUCGAGAUAGCUAGAGAUGCCAAAAUUUCCCGGGGUCCCGAGAAUGACACAUCAGAGAUUUGGAUUUCUAGCCCUUAGAGAAAAAAAGUUUGACAGCAUAGAAGACAUGAUCUACAAUCAGGAAUGCCAGAAACUCUGACAGAGCUACACAAUACAAUUCGUCAACAAUUUGAAAUUCAAAAAGACUUCCGUAUUCAGUUCAUGGAUCCUGACUUCAAUAAUGAAUUCAUGAAUGUUACGUCAGUACAAGACAUACAGGACAGAAGUACAAUGAAGUUGGUGUACAACAAUGUAGGAGUGAGUCCAUCUUCUCCACUGCAGAAUGCUUGCAGCCCUUCCUUGUCAUCUGGGUCACCAGUAAGCAGCAAAAAUACGGCCAGUCUUUCCCCAUUGCCAUCAGCGUCCCCAUUGCCAACAGAUUCUGAUAACACCAUCAUCCUGUCCCAUUCAGAUAGCGAACUGAGGGCACGUGCAUGGCCACGGGAAUUCUCAAUUCUGCGUUUUCCAUAUGAUGUAGAGCUUCAGCUUCAACGUGGAAAUGAGAGCUUUAGGGAAACUGGCUCUCUUAAAGAUCACACCAGGGCUGAAGUCAGACAUCUUGGAAAAGUUAGCAGAGGAAAUCUUCCAGUACACUGCAUAUCCACAGAACUACGAUAUGGUUGAUGUAGCAGGGGCAUUCAUCAAAAAAUAUCCCUGUUUAAAAGAACAAUCUGCCAGUGGAUACUAUGGCUGGAUGAUUAGCCUGAAAUAUAAAAUGGCAAAUUACAGAACAAAAAUGUGCAACAUUGGUUGUCCAGAAGUUUCCAUAAAUGCAUUGAAAAACUAAACGGUGGAUGACUGCCGCCCAGCCAAAAAUGUGAAGAAACCCAAAAAGGCGGAAGUAAACUAUUUUCCUUCAAACCCUGCCGGAGAAACUGAUGAAAGCCUAGAACAUUUAAGGGUUGAACUGUUAAACGAAGCAAGAAGACGAAGAGACAAUGCACCAUCUGUAUAAGAGAAGAUGUCGAGAACCUUUUCCUAUAGCAGGAUAGAGGUGGUGCAGGGAAAUCUAGGCGCCGGAGAGAUUAAAGCCAGGUGGCCUGCACUCUUCCGUACUGAUGAGGUAAGAACGGGCUUGUUGUUUUUUAACACAGUGUAAUUCUUAAUAUCACAUUUUGGUGCAUGACUGCUGAAACUCCAAUAGUUACAAAGUAGACUAUGGGACUUUUUAAAAUAAAUGAAUUCCCGUUAGUAUUUUAUCACUUACUUGUAUACCUAUGGCUGGUCCAAACUGUACUACGCUAUCGGACACGUUUUUGUUUUGUGAAUGUAAAGGUCCAAAUUUGAAUGUGACCUUUAAUACAGUUGCUAUAAAAUAAAAUUACGUCAAUGACUGAACACGGUGUCUUUUGCCCUUUUUUUCCUAUUUUCUUUGUAUAGAUACAUGCUGAAUUCCAGCGCAUAACAACAAUCCCUCUUGAAACUACCUUCAUGGCGCAGUUGGACAGCCAUUUACCCCAACUGACUUCCGUUUUACAGAAGAAGGGAGGCGUUUCUGGCCAAAAACUAGCCUAACACCUGGUGAUCUUGCAAGAGACUUAAGCAUCUAUCUGGGUGAGGAUGAUGGACAUCUCAUUCGGGAGUAUAUGGACAUCCAAGGAGACGAUAUCCAGAGAGAGAUGAGCAAACACUCCAUUGGGCAUCUUCAUCAGCAUGGAGGGUGAAGAAAUUGGACACGUUUGCAUUUCUGUGGAAGGAGUCGUCGUUCUUGACAACAUUGAAUCCCUAGCCAGAGCUUGUGCAUUGAUGCUGGGGGUCAUCUAUGCCCUGAACUUGGCUUACCCCAAGGAAUUGAGAGUAGAAUUUUUCCAAGCUGCUUUUGUGAACCCCUGGAUUUAGAUUUUUGAUUGAUUUUUGAUUUUGUCGGCUUAUCGCAAUUUUACAGCCUAAAGGACACAGUUAUCCAGACUGAUGUCCUCCUGACUGUUCUUGUCCUCCUGAGUUUUCUGUUUAAAGGUGACAUAUUAUGCCACCAGGUGUGAGUGUGUUUAGCCGUUACAAGCCGUCUUCUGACAUCACAAGUGGGCGUGUAUCCAGCACACCUCUAGGUGGACACGGCCACUUGUAAUGUCAGAAGAGGCCGAUUUUCAAAACGGCUUGUGACGGCUAAACACACUCACACCUGGUGGCAUAAUAUGUCCCUUGAGCUGCAUUGUUUGAGCUCAUGUGUUUGGGGCAAAAGAGUUAACGUCAACUGAAGAAGAACUUCGGUACUGCUCUUUCAGUUUUUGAGCAUUGACUAUCUUCCAGCUGUGGGUGGUCUGGUACAAUUGUUAAAUUUGUUUCAUAAGGGUUUUGAUAGGAAGAAAGGUUCUCGAUUCCUCACUUUGACGAAAUCUCCACUUUGGUUAAGGUUAUCGGCGGAUCCCAAUUCUACAGCCUAAAGGACACAAUUAUCCAGACUGAUGUCCUGGCUGUUUAUUUAUUUUUCUGAGUUUUCUGUUUAAAGCUGACAUAUUAUGCCACCAGGUGUGAGUGUGAUUAGCCAUUACAAGCCGUUUGAAAAUCUGCCUCUUCUUACAUCACUAGUGGGAGUAUCCACCUAGAGGUGUGCUGGAGCAACGUCUUCUACAGUCCACUGGGUAGCUGGUAGACUGAUCUAUCCAGCACACCUCUAGGUGGACACGGCCACUUGUGAUGUCAGAAGAGGCAGAUUUUCACAACGGCUUGUAACGGCUAAACACACUCACACCUGGUCGCAUAAUAUGUCUCUUAAGCUGCAUUAUUUAAACUUGUGUGUUUGAGGCAAAGGAGAUCAUUUAUUUGCACGUUUUCAAUACUUGACAAAAUAAGUGUUGAAAAUAUUUUGUUUGCUUUGUCUGAUUAUUAAAUGUAUUUGGUCCAACUAAAAUAGCUUAAAAUGUUUAAUUUAAUUGAACGUAAUUUUAUGAUGUAGAAAUAAAACUAUUUAGUUUAUCUGUAUUAACAUAAUUCAG